AUAAACACCCUCUCAUCUCACUCUCCAUUCCCUGCCCUUACCUGCUAUUGGCCUUUGACCAUAAUCAGAGCAUAGAAGAGAAUGGCGAUGUGGUGCAUAGAUAUCAGCCUGCCGGACAUUUGGGAAAAGGUGGCAGGUGGAUCUGGAGGGGCAGACAGAGACCAUUCGGCAUGCACCUAAUCCCACAGCAUGUACCUCAUCCUUCCAAGAAGCAUGCACCAUCACACGGCCUGUGUUCGCUUGAGGCAGGUCUGAGGGAAAGAAGAGGGACACCAGGCCCACUGCAGGUCUGUACCCAGAGCUUCUGGCCACGGGGACUUAGAGCCCAGCACUGCUGCAGACUAACUUGGACAUGUUCUCACCAUGAAGGCCAGGGUCAAAGAGGGCAAGCAGAAAUGGACAAGUGCUUUUCAAGCCUCUGUUGGGGUCAAAGCUGAUUAUAUGAACCAAUGAAGAAUCAGUGUGGAAGACCACCACUGAUGGGCUAGAUACAAGGAUGUGAAAACUGGAGCCAACAAAGAGAAUGUAACCUUCACCGGUGGGAAACAUUUGAAACAGUGCCUGGGCAUGACUCUGAUCCCCUGUAUGAUGGGAAAAGUUUCAUAUCAAUGACAAUAAUACUUCAGAGUCUUGAGAUCAAAGUCCUCAAUUAAAAUAUUCUCUGGUGUUGAGUGGGUAUUGGACAGUCUGCCAGAUUUUCCUCAAGGAUCCCAACAGAUGAAACAAGAAGGAAGGACUUCCAUAGAUGGUCCAAAUUGCU